UACGAAGGGGGCUAGCGUUGCUCGGAAUUACUGGGCGUAAAGGGAGCGUAGGCGGAUAGUUUAGUCAGAGGUGAAAGCCCAGGGCUCAACCUUGGAAUUGCCUUUGAUACUGGCUAUCUUGAGUGUGGGAGAGGUAUGUGGAACUCCGAGUGUAGGGGUGAAAUUCGUAGAUAUUCGGAAGAACACCAGUGGCGAAGGCGACAUACUGGCCCAUUACUGACGCUGAGGCUCGAAAGCGUGGGGAGCAAACAGG
rnacentral:rRNA from 1 species